rnacentral:rRNA from 1 species
ACUGGUGUACUGGUGUUCGGGUUGUCAUGCCAAUGGCACUGCCCGGUAGCUAAAUGCGGAAGAGAUAAGUGCUGAAAGCAUCUAAGCACGAAACUUGCCCCGAGAUGAGUUCUCCCUGAGACUUAGAGUCUCCUGAAGGAACGUUGAAGACGACGACGUUGAUAGGCCGGGUGUGUAAGCGCAGCGAUGCGUUGAGCUAACCGGUACUAAUGAACCGUGAGGCUUAACCUU